CUUCCGUAGGGUGACCUGCGGAAGGAUCAUUACUGUGAUUUAUAUCUUAUACACAUGCGUGAGCGCACCAAACACCUAAAAUUGUAAUAAUAACUGUCAGUAAGUUUUAACAAAACAAAACUUUCAACAACGGAUCUCUUGGUUCUCGCAUCGAUGAAGAGCGCAGCGAAAUGCGAUACCUAGUGUGAAUUGCAGCCAUCGUGAAUCAUCGAGUUCUUGAACGCACAUUGCGCCCCAUGGUAUUCCAUGGGGCAUGCCUGUCUGAGCGUCGUUUCCUUCUUGCGCAAGCAGAGUUGAGAACAGGCUAUGCCUUUUUCGAAAUGGAACGUCGUGGACGAAGUGAACUAAACAUUUAGCAGCGCGUGUUGUGCCGUCACGAACUUUMGACUAGCUCGCAACUGAGACACGCGAGACGCGCAUGCAAC
rnacentral:rRNA from 1 species